ACUUGCUAUGCACAGUAUAUCAAAUUUUAUGUAAAGCAUAAUGGCACACAAACUCUACCAAGUCAUUUUUUUAUGAGACCAAAAUAACAAUAUACAAUACAGGUUAUGUACGUAUUACUCCUCCCUAGUUUCUAGCUCCAAGCAAGAUAACAGGUUAAUAUAAAACAGGGAAGGAAAAGAUUAUAUAAUGAUCUUUUCUCAUAGCUUCAAAUAAGGCAAAAAUUCCAACUAUUGCAAGAGCAGUAUAAAGAAAUCAAAAGACCUCCAAUUUGCA
rnacentral:misc_RNA from 1 species